rnacentral:rRNA from 1 species
AGUCGAGCGAGUCUGCCUUGAAGAUCGGAGUGCUUGCACUCUGUGAAACAAGAUACAGGCUAGCGGCGGACGGGUGAGUAACACGUGGGUAACCUGCCCAAGAGAUCGGGAUAACACCUGGAAACAGAUGCUAAUACCGGAUAACAACAGAUGAUGCCUAUCAACUGUUUAAAAGAUGGUUCUGCUAUCACUCUUGGAUGGACCUGCGGUGCAUUAGCUAGUUGGUAGGGUAACGGCCUACCAAGGCGAUGAUGCAUAGCCGAGUUGAGAGACUGAUCGGCCACAUUGGGACUGAGACACGGCCCAAACUCCUACGGGAGGCAGCAGUAGGGAAUCUUCCACAAUGGACGCAAGUCUGAUGGAGCAACGCCGCGUGAGUGAAGAAGGGUUUCGGCUCGUAAAGCUCUGUUGUUGGUGAAGAAGGACGGGGGUAGUAACUGACCUUUGUUUGACGGUAAUCAAUUAGAAAGUCACGGCUAACUACGUGCCAGCAGCCGCGGUAAUACGUAGGUGGCAAGCGUUGUCCGGAUUUAUUGGGCGUAAAGCGAGUGCAGGCGGUUCGAUAAGUCUGAUGUGAAAGCCUUCGGCUCAACCGGAGAAUUGCAUCAGAAACUGUCGAGCUUGAGUACAGAAGAGGAGAGUGGAACUCCAUGUGUAGCGGUGAAAUGCGUAGAUAUAUGGAAGAACACCGGUGGCGAAGGCGGCUCUCUGGUCUGUUACUGACGCUGAGGCUCGAAAGCAUGGGUA